rnacentral:rRNA from 7 species
UUUGACCUCGGAUCAGGUAGGAAUACCCGCUGAACUUA